rnacentral:rRNA from 1 species
AGCGCAGGUGGUUUAUUAAGUCUGGUGUAAAAGGCAGUGGCUCAACCAUUGUAUGCAUUGGAAACUGGUAGACUUGAGUGCAGGAGAGGAGAGUGGAAUUCCAUGUGUAGCGGUGAAAUGCGUAGAUAUAUGGAGGAACACCGGUGGUGAAAGCGGCUCUCUGGCCUGUAACUGACACUGAGGCUCGAAAGCGUGGGGAGCAAACA